UACAACAUACAAUUAAUGCACCGGAUUCCAUUAGAAAUCCGUAGUUAAGUCCACUUGGGCUAGAGUAGUACUGCAAUAGGUAACCACCUAGGAAUUCCUAGUGUUUUAC
rnacentral:rRNA from 1 species